UACGUAGGGGGCAAGCGUUGUCCGGAUUUAUUGGGCGUAAAGAGCGUGUAGGCGGCUAUACAGGUCCGUUGUGAAAACUCGAGGCUCAACCUCGAGACGCCGAUGGAAACCGUAUGGCUAGAGUCCGGAAGAGGAGAGCGGAAUUCCUGGUGUAGCGGUGAAAUGCGCAGAUAUCAGGAAGAACACCAGUGGCGAAGGCGGCUCACUGGUCCGGUACUGACGCUGAGGUGCGAAAGCGUGGGGAGCAAACAGG
rnacentral:rRNA from 1 species